rnacentral:lncRNA from 10 species
UCACCGUGUUAGCUAGGAUGGUCUUGAUCUCCUGACCUCGUGAUCCGUCCACCUCGGCCUUCCAAAGUGCUUGGAUUACAGGCAAGAGCCACCGCGCCUGGUCUUCACCACCAUUUUUAAAGCAGUCAAAAUAAUAAUGGUUAACAUUUAUUGGAGACUUGCUGUAUAACAUCAAUAUCGCAUUUAGUCCUCAUAAUAACACUGAGUUUGGCGCUGCUAUCACGUCUCCUGUGUUACAGAUACUAGGGAUACAGUGGUAUCUUUGAAGAAAGCAAGAUAUUUCAGGAAAGAAACAAGUGAGCAAAGAGCUUCAAUAUACUGUGGACAAUGCUGCAGCAGAGGAGAAGGAUGAGAAGUCUCCAGAGGUGGUGAUACUUAAAAAGAAACUUGAGGCCGGGCACAGUGGCUCACCCCUGUAAUUCCAGCACUUUAGGAGGCCAAGGUGGGCAGAUCACCUGAGGUCAGGAGUUGGAGAUCAACCUAGCCAACAAUGUGAAACCCCUACUAAAAAUACAAAAAUUAGCCUGGCGUAGUGGCGGG